rnacentral:rRNA from 1 species
CCUACGGGAGGCAGCAGUGAGGAAUAUUGGUCAAUGGGCGCAAGCCUGAACCAGCCAAGUAGCGUGAAGGAUGAAUGCCCUACGGGUUGUAAACUUCUUUUAUAAAGGAAUAAAGUGAGGCACGUGUGCCUUUUUGUAUGUACUUUAUGAAUAAGGAUCGGCUAACUCCGUGCCAGCAGCCGCGGUAAUACGGAGGAUCCGAGCGUUAUCCGGAUUUAUUGGGUUUAAAGGGAGCGUAGAUGGGCUGUUAAGUCAGCGGUGAAAGUUUGCGGCUCAACCGUAAAAUUGCAAUUGAUACUGGCAGGAUUGAGUACAGUUGAGGUAGGCGGAAUGCGUGGUGGAGCGGUGAAAUGCUUAGAUAUCACGAAGAACCCCGAUUGCGAAGGCAGCCUACCAAACGGUCACUGACAUUGAUGCGCGAAAGCGUGGGGAUCAAACAGGAUUAGAUACCCGGGUAGUC